CAGGCUUAACACAUGCAAGUCGAACGAGCUGGGACCUUCGGGUCCCGAUGCUAGUGGCGCACGGGUGAGUAACACGUGGGAACGUACCCUUUAGUACGGAAUAACCCAGGGAAACUUGGGCUAAUACCGUACGACUCCUUCGGGAGAAAGAUUUAUCGCUAAAGGAACGGCCCGCGUCUGAUUAGGUAGUUGGUGAGGUAACGGCUCACCAAGCCGACGAUCAGUAGCUGGUCUGAGAGGAUGAUCAGCCACACUGGGACUGAGACACGGCCCAGACUCCUACGGGAGGCAGCAGUGGGGAAUAUUGGACAAUGGGCGCAAGCCUGAUCCAGCCAUGCCGCGUGGGUGAUGAAGGCCCUAGGGUUGUAAAGCCCUUUCGGCGGGGAAGAUGAUGACGGUACCCGCAGAAGAAGCCCCGGCUAACUUCGUGCCAGCCGCCGCCGUAAUAC
rnacentral:rRNA from 1 species